CUAGCCGUAAACGAUGGGUACUAGGUGUGGGAGGUAUCGACCCCUUCCGUGCCGGAGUUAACGCAAUAAGUACCCCGCCUGGGGACUACGAUCGCAAGAUUGAAACUCAAAGGAAUUGACGGGGGCCCGCACAAGCGGUGGAGUAUGUGGUUUAAUUCGACGCAACGCGAAGAACCUUACCAAGGCUUGACAUCCCUCUGAAGUAUAUAGAGAUAUAUACGGCUUUUAGGAGACAGAGGAGACAGGUGG
rnacentral:rRNA from 1 species